rnacentral:rRNA from 1 species
UGUUAUUAGAUCUAAUUAAUAAUAUAAUCUGCUCAAUGAUAUUUAAAUAGCCGCAAACUCUGUGCUAAGGUAGCAUAAUAAUUUGUCUUUUAAAUAAGGACUAGUAUGAAAGAUUUAACAUUUUAAUUUAUAUCUUUAAUAUAAAUAUUAAAAAUUUUUUUAAAUGUAAAAAAACAUUUCUCUAAAAGAAAGACGACAAGACCCUAUUGAACUUAACUAUAGUUUAACUGGGGCAGUUAAUCAAUUAAAAUUUUAAUAAAAUAUAUUCUAUAUAAGACCCAAUAACAUUAAUUACUAGAACAAGUUACCGAAGGGAUAACAGCGCAAUAAAUUUUUUAAGAACUUAUAAARAAAUAAGAUUACGACCUCGAUGUUGAAUAAUAACCAAUAUUAUUCUUUUAACGCAAAAGUUAUAUAUGGGAGUCUGUUCGACUCUUAAACAAUUACA